rnacentral:tRNA from 1 species
UCCCUCUUGGCUCAGAUGGUAAAAGCAUCUGCUUGCAAUGCGUGAGACCCGGGGUUCGAUCCCUGAGUGGGGA